rfam:Rattus norvegicus chromosome X, whole genome shotgun sequence.
GGGGAUUUAGCUUAGUGGUAGAGCGCUUGCCUAGCAAGCGCAAGGCCCUGGGUUCGGUCCCCAGCUCCA